rnacentral:tRNA from 1 species
GGAGGGAUUAGCUCUGUGGCAGAGCCCAUGCUUAGCAUGCACAAGGUCCUGGGUUCAAUCCCCAGUCCCUCCA